UUUUUUGUUGAUUUGUAUGCCACACACUCGCUCACAAGGCGAGCCUUACUACUUUAAAAUCAACAACGUCGAACGAUAUCUCCGAUUAUUAUGACGAAUUCAGGAGUAUCGUGCUAGAAACAAUCUUCCUCCAAUCGAAGUUCCUGAUCUCAAAAAUCUCCUUCCUUUAACGAUACCAGUGAUGGCGGAACUAGCUCGUGCUCUUCGAGAUUACGCUGCUCCAUCGCAGGAUGAGCC
rnacentral:lncRNA from 1 species